ACUAAAUGAUUUCACAAAAGUAUUUUGGAUAUCUUUCUCCCUCCGUCCCAAAAUCAAUAUAGUGUUGCACUAUUCACGUUCAAUGAUAAAAUAUGAAUAGUAUUUUAUGUGUGGCUAAAUAUUUUUAAAUUUUUCAUAAAGUUUUUAAAUAAGACGGACGGUCAAACGUUAGGCACGGAUAUCCACGGCUGUACUUAUU
rnacentral:pre_miRNA from 1 species